CAAGGCUAUUGCCCACCCGUUUUUGUGGCCUUUUUCCGCUGGACGAACUUGGCGCCCCGGCCUUCGGGUGGUUAUUUUUGGGCGCGGCUGUGCUCGUGGCCUAUUUUUGGCACACGGAGGUGCCUCGUAAAGUCUCGCUUCAUUCCGAGUCCGGCGGACGAAGGUGGCCAGUCCCACCCCCCAAGGCUAUAGCCCACCCGUAUUUUUGGCCUUUUUCCGCGGGACUUACUUGGCGCCCCGGCCUUCGGACGGUUAUUUUUAGUCACGGCUGUGUCCGCGGCCUAUUUUCGGCACACGGAGGUGGCUCGCAAUGUCUCGAACCAUUCGGAGUACGGCGGACGAAGUUGGCCAGCCCCACCCCCCAAGGCUAUAGCCCACCCGUUUUUGUGGCCUUUUUCCGCAGGACGAACUUGGCACCCCGGCCUUCGGGCGGGUAUUUUUCGGCGCAACUGUGCCCGCAGCCUGUUUUUGGCACACGGAGGCGCAUCACAACGUCUCGCCCCAUUCCGAGUCCGGCGGACGAAGUUGGCCAGCCCCACCCCCCAAGGCUAUAGCCCACCCGUUUUUGUGGCCUUUUUCCGCAGGACGAACUUGGCGCCCCGGCCGUCAGACGGUUAUUUUUGGUCGCGGCUGUGCCGCGGCCUAUUUUUGGCACACGGAGGUGCCUUGCAAAGUCUCGCGCCAUUCCGAGUCCGGCGGACGAAGUUGGCCAGCCCCACCGCCCAAGGCUAUAGCCCACCCGUUUUUGUGGCCUUUUUCCGCUGGACGAAUUUGGCGACCCGGCCGUCGGACGGUUAUUUUUGGUCGCGGCUGUCCCGCAGCCUAUUUUUGGCACACGGANNNNNNNNNNNNNNNNNNNNNNNNNNNNNNNNNNNNNNNNNNNNNNNNNNNNNNNNNNNNNNNNNNNNNNNNNNNNNNNNNNNNNNNNNNNNNNNNNNNNAUUCCGAGUCCGGCGGACGAAGUUGGCCAGCCCCACCCCCCAAGGCUAUAGCCCACCCGUUUUUUUGGACUUUUUCCGCUGGACGAAGUUGGCCUGCCCCACCCCCCAAGGCUAUAGGCCACCCGUUUUUGUGGCCUUUUUCUGCUGGACGAACUUGGCGCCCCGGUCUUCGGGGUGUUAUUUUUGGGCGCGGCCGCGACCGCGGUCUAUUUUUGGCACACGGAGGCACCUCGCAAAGUCUCGCGCCAUUUCGAGUCCGGCGGACGGUGUUGGCCAGCCGCACCCCCCAAGGCUAUAGCCCACCCGUUUUUGUGGCCUUUUUCCGCUGGCCGAACUUGGCGGCCCGGCCUUCGGGUGGUUAUUUUUGGGGGCGGCUGUGACCGCGGCGUAUUUUUGGCACACGGAGGCCCCUCACAAAGUCUCACGCCAUUCCGAGUCCGGCGGACGAAGUGGGCCAGCCCCACCCCCCAAGGCUAUAGCCCACCCGUUUUUGUGGCCUUUUUCCGCUGGACGAACUUGGCUCCCCGGCCUUCGGGGGGUUAUUUUUAGGCACGGCUGUGCCCGCGGCCUAUUUUUGGCACACGGAGGCGCCUCGCAAAGUCUCACGCCAUUCCGAGUCCGGCGGACGAAUUUGGCCAGCCCCACCCCCCAAGGCUAUUGCCCACCCGUUUUUGUGGCCUUUUUCCGCUGGACGAACUUGGCGCCCCGGCCUUCGGGCGGUUAUUUUUGGGUACGGCUGUGCUCGUGCCCUAUUUUUGGCACACGGAGGUGCCUUGCAAUGUCUCGCGCCAUUCCGAGUCCGGCGGACGAAGUUGGCCAGCCCCACCGCCCAAGGCUAUAGCCCACCCGUUUUUGUGGCCUUUUUCCGCUGGACGAAUUUGGCGACCCGGCCGUCGGACGGUUAUUUUUGGUCGAGGCUGUCCCGCGGCCUAUUUUUGGCACACGGAUGUGCCUCGCAAAGUCUCGCGCCAUUCCGAGUCCGGCGGACGAAGUUGGCCAGCCCCACCCCCCAAGCCUAUAGCCCACCCGUUUUUGUGACCUUUUUCCGCUGGACAAACUUGGCGCCCCGGCCUUCGGGGUGUUAUUUUUGGGCGCGGCCGUGCCUGUGGCCUAUUUUUGGCACACGAAGGUGCCUCGCAAAGUCUCGCGCCAUUCCGAGUCCGGCGGACGCAUUGGGCCAACCCCACCGCCCAAGGCUAUAGCCCACCCGUUUUUGUGGACUUUUUCCGCUGGAAGAACUUGGCGCCCCGGCCUUCGGACGGUUAUUUUUGGUCGCGGCUGUGUCCGCGGCCUAUUUUUGGCACACGGAGGUGCCUCGUAAAGUCUCGAACCAUUCGGAGUACGGCGGACGAAGUUGGCCAGCCCCACCCCCCAAGGCUAUUGCCCACCCGUUUUUGUGGCCUUUUUCCGCAGGACGAACUUGGCGCCCCGGCCUUCGGGCGGAUAUUUUUCGGCGCGGCUGUGCCCGCAGCCUGUUUUUGGCACACGGAGGCACAUCGCAAGUUCUCGCCCCAUUCCGAGUCCGGCGGAUGAAGUUGGCGAGCCCCACCCCCCAAGGCCGUAGCCCACCCGUGUUUGUGGCCUUUUUCCGCUGGACGAACUUGGCGCCCCGGCCUUCGGGGUGUUAUUUUUGGGCGCGGCUGUGCCCGUGGCCUAUUUUUGGCACACGAAGGCGCCUCGCAAAGUCCCGCGCCAUUCUGAAUCCGGCGGACGAAGUUGGCCCGCCCCACCCCCCAAGGCUAUAGCCCACCCAUUUUUGUGGCCUUUUUCUGCUGGACGAACUUGGCGCCCCGGCCUUCGGGGUGUUAUUUUUGGGCGCGGCCGUGCCCGCGGCCUAUUUUUGGCACACGGAGGCACCUCGCAAAGUCUCGCACCAUUUCGAGUCCGGCGGACGGUGUUGGCCAGCCCCACCCCCCAAGGCUAUAGCCCACCCGUUUUUGUGGCCUUUUUCCGCUGGACGAACUUGGCGGCCCGUCCUUCGGGCGGUUAUUUUUGGGGGCGGCUGUGACCGCGGCGUAUUUUUGGCACACGGAGGCCCCUCACAAAGUCUCGCGCCAUUCCGAGUCCGGCGGACGAACUGGGCCAGCCCCACCCCCCAAGACUAUAGCCCACCCGUUUUUGUGGCUUUUUUCCGCUGGACGAACUUGGCGCCCCGGCCUUCAGACGGUUAUUUUUGGUCGCGGCUCUGCCCGCGGCCUUCUUUGUCACACAGAGCCACCUCGCAAAGUCUCACACCAUUCCGAGUACUGCACACGAAGUUGCCCAGCCCCACCCUCCAAGGCUAUAGCCCACCCGUUUUUGUGGCCUCUUUCCGCAGGACUAACUUGGCGCCCCGCCCUUCGGGCUGUUAUUUUUGGGUGCGGCUGUGCCCGCGGCUUAUUUUUGGCACGCGGAGGUGCCUCGAAAAGACUCGUGCCAUUCCAAGUCCGGCGGACGAAGUUGGCCAGCCCCACCCCCCAAGGCUAUAGCCCACCCGUUUUUGUGGCCGUUUUCCGCUGGACGAACUUGGCGCCCGACCUUCGGACGGUUAUUUUUGGUCGCGGCUGUGCCCACGGCCUAUUCUUGGCACACGGAGGUGCCUCGCAAAGUCUCGCACCAUUCCCAGUCCGGCGGACGAAGUAGGCCAGCCCCACCCCCCAAGGCUAUAGCCCACCCGUUUUUGUGGCCUUUUUCCGCAGGACGAACUUGGCGCCCCGGCCUUCGGGCGGUUAUUAUUGGACACGGCUGUGCCCGCAGCCUAUUUUUUUCACACGGAGGUGCCUCGCAAAGUAUCGCGCCAUUCCGAUUCCGGCGGACGAAGUUGGCCAGCCCCACCCCCCAAGGCUAUAGCCCACCCGUUUUUGUGGCCUUUUUCCCCUGGACGAACUUGGCGCCCCGGCCUUCGGGCUGUUAUUUUUGGGCACAGCUGUGUCCACGGCCUAUUUUUGGCACGCGGAGGUGCCUCGCAAAGUCUCGCGCCGUUCCGAGUCCAGCGGACGAAGUUGGCCAGCCGCACCCCCCAAGACUAUAGCCCACCCGUUUUUGUGGCCUUUUUCCGCUGGACGAACUUGGCGCCCCGGCCUUCGGACGGUUAUUUUUGGUCGCGGCUGUGCCCACGGCCUUUUAUUAGCACACGGAGGUGCCUCGCAAAGGCUCGCGCCAUUCCGAGUCCGGCGGACGAAGUUGGCCAGCCCCACCCCUCAAGGCUAUAGCCCACCCGUUUUCGUGGACUUUUUCCGCUGGACGAACUUGGCGGCCCGGUCUUCGGGCGGUUAUUGUUGCACGCUCCUGUGCCCGCGGCAUAUUUUUGGCACACGGAGGCCCCUUGCAAAGUCUCGCGCCAUUCGGAGUCUGGCGGACAAAGUUUGCCAGCCCCACCCCCCAAGGCUAUAGCCCACCCGUUUUUGUGGCCUUUUUCCGCUGGACGAACUUGGCGCUACAGCCUUCGGGCAUUUAUUUUUGGGCGCGGCUGUGCCCGUGGCCUAUUUUUGGCACACGGAGGUGCCUCGCAAUGUCUCGCGCCAUUCCGAGUCCGGCGGACGAAGUUGGCCAGCCCCACCGCCCAAGGCUAUAGCCCACCCGUUUUUGUGGCCUUUUUCCCCUGGUCGAACUUCGCGCCCCGGCCUUCGGGCUGUUAUUUUUGGGCGCGGUUGUGCCCGCGGCCUAUUUUUGGCACACGGUAUCGCCUCGCAAAGUCUCGCGCCAUUCCGAGUCCGGCGGACGAAAUUGGCCAGCCCCACCCCCCAAGGCUAUAGCCCACCCAUUUUUGUGGCCUUUUUCCGCUGGACGAACUGGGCGCCCCGCCCUUCGGGCGGUUAGUUUUGGGCGCGACUUUGGCCGCGGCCUAUUUUUGGCACACGGAGGCCCCUCGCAAAGUCUCGAGCCAUUCCAAGUCCGGCGGACGAAGUUGGCCAGCCCAACCCCCCAAGGCUAUAGCCCACCCGUUUUUGUGGCCUUUUUCCGCCGGACGAACUUGGUACCCCUGCCUUCGGGCGGAUAUUUUUGGACGUGGCUUUGACCGCGGCCUAUUUUUGGAACAUGGAGGCCCCUCACAAAGUCUCGCAGCAUUCCGAGUCCAGCGGACGAAGUUGGCCAGCCCCACCCCCCAAGGCUAUUGCCCACCCGUUUUUGUGGCCAUUUUCCGCUGGACGAACUUGGCGGCCCGGCCUUCGGGCGGUUAUUUUUGGGGGCGGCUUUGCCCGCGGCCUAUUUUUGGUACACGGAGGCCCCUCGCAAAGUCUCGCGGCAUUCCGAGUCCGGCGGACGAAGUUGGCCAGCCCCACCCCCCAACGCUAUAGCCCACCCGUUUUUGUGGCCUUUUUCCGCUGGACGAACUUGGCGCCCCGGCCUUCGGGCGGUUAUUUUUGGGCACGGCUUUGCCCACGGCCUAUUUUUGGCACACGGAGGCCCUUCGCAAAGUCUCGCGGCAUUCCGAGUGCGGCGGACGAAGUUUGCCAGCCCCAGCCCCCAAGGCUAUAGCCCACCCGUUUUUGUGGCCAUUUUCCGCUGGACGAACUGGGCGCCCCGGCCUUCGGGCGGUUACUUUUGGGCGCGGCUUUGCGCGCGGCCUAUUUUUGGCACACGGAGUCCCCUCGCAAAGUCUCGCGGCAUUCCGAGUCCGGCGGACUAAGUUGGUCAGCCCCACCCCCCAAGGCAAUAGCCCACCCUUUUUUGAGGACCUUUUCCGCUGGACGAACUUGGCGCCCCGGCCUUCGGGUGGUUAUUUUUGGGCGCGGCUUGGCCCGUGUCCUAUUUUUGGCACACGGAGGCCCCUCGAAAAGUCUCGCAGCAUUCCGAGUCCGGCGGACGAAGUUGGUCAGCCCCACCCCCCAAGGCAAUAGCCCACCCUUUUUUGUGGCCUUUUUCCGCUGGACGAACUUGGCGCCCCGUCCUUCGGGUGGUUAUUUUUGGCACACGGAGGCCCCUCGCAAAGUCUCACGGUAUUCCGAGUCCGGCGGACAAAGUUGGCCAGCCCCACCCCCCAAGGAAAUAGCCCACCCGUUUUUGUGGCCUUUUUCCGCAGGACGAACGUGGCGCCCCGGCCUUUGGGCGGUUAUUUUUGGGUCCGGCUUUGCCCGCGGCCUAUUUUUGGCACACGGAGGCCCCUCUGAAAGUCUCGCGGCAUUCCGAGUCCGGCGGACGAAGUUGGCCAGCCCCACCCCCCAAGGCCAUAGCCCAUCCGUUUUUGUGGCCAUUUUCCGCUGGACGAACUUGGUGCCCCGGCCUACGGGCGGUUAUUUUUGCGCGCGGCUUUGUCCUCGGCCUAUUUUUGGCACACGGAGGCCCCUCGUAAAGUCUCCCGGCAUUCCGAGUCCGGCGGACGAAGCCGGCCAGCCCCACCCGCCAAGGCUAUAGCCCACCCGUUUUUGUGGCCUUUUUCCGCUGGACGAACAUGCCACCCCGGCCUUCGGGUGGUUAUUUUUGGGCGCGGCUUUGCCCGCGGCCUAUUUUUGGCACACGGAGGCCCCUCCCAAAGUCUCGCGGCAUUCCGAGUCCGGCGGACGAAGUUGGCCAGCCCCACACCCCAAGGCUAUAGCCCACCCGUUUCUGGGGCCUUUUUCCGGUGGACGAACAUGGCGCCCCGGCCUUCGGUCGUUUAUUUUUGGGUGCAGCUUUGCCCGCGGCCUAUUUUUGGCACACGGAGGCCCCUCACAAAAAUCUCGCGGCAUUCCGAGUCCGGAGGACGAAGUUGGCCAGCCCCACCCCCCAAGGCUAUAGCCCACCCGUUUUUGUGGCCUUUUUCCGCUGGACGAACUUGGCGCCCCGGCCUUCGGGAGGUUAUUUUUUGACGCGGUUUUAUCCGCGGCCUAUUUUUGGCACACGGAGGCCCCUCGCAAAGUCUCGCGGCAUUCCGAGUCCGGCGGACGAAUUUGCCAGCCCCACCCCCCAAGGCUAUAGCCCACCCGUUUUUGUGGCCUUUUUCCGCUGGACGAACUGGGCGCCCCGGCCUUCGGGCGGUUACUUUUGGGCGCGGCUUUGCGCGCGGCCUAUUUUUGGCACACGGAGUCCCCUCGCAAAGUCUCGCAGCAUUCCGAGUCCGGCGGACGAAGUUGGUCAGCCCCACCCCCCAAGGCAAUAGCCCACCCUUUUUUGUGGCCUUUUUCCGCUGGACGAACUUGGCGCCCCAUCCUUCGGGUGGUUAUUUUUGGCACACGGAGGCCCCUCGCAAAGUCUCACGGUAUUCCGAGUCCGGCGGACAAAGUUGGCCAGCCCCACCCCCCAAGGCUAUAGCCCACCCGUUUUUGUGGCCUUCUUCCGCUGGACGAACUUGGCGCCCCGGCCUUCGGCCAGUUAUUUUUGGACGCGGCUGUGACCGCGGCCUAUUUUUGGCACACGGCAGCUGUUCGUAAACUCUUGCACCAUUCUGAGUCCGGCGGACGAAGUGGGCCAGCCCCACCCCCCAAGGCUAUAGCCCUCCCGUUUUUGUGGCCUUUUUCAGCUGGACGAACCUGGCGCCCCGGCCUUUGGGCGGUUGUUUUUGGGGGCGGCUUUGACCGCGGCCUAUUUUUGGCGCACGGAGGCCCCUCACAAAGUCUCGCGCCAUUCCGAGUCCGGGGGACGAUGUUGGCCAGCCCCACCCCCUAAGGCUAUCGCCCACCCGUUUUUGUGGCCUUUUUCCGCUGGAUGAACCUGGCGCCCCGGAACUCGGGCGGUUAUUUUUGGGCACGGCUUUGCCUGCGGCCUAUUUUUGGCACACGGAGGUCCCUCGCAAAGUCUCGCGGCAUUCCGAGUCCGGCGGACGAAGUUGGCCAGCCCCACCCCCCAAGGCUAUAGCCCACCCGUUUUUGUGGCCUUUUUCCGAUGGACGAACUUGGCGCCCCGGCCUUCGGGCGGUUAUUUUUGGGCGCGGCUUUGCCCGUGGCCUAGUUUUGGCAGACGGAGGCCCCUCGCAAAGUCUCGCGGCAUUCCGAGUCCGGCGGACAAAGUUGGCCAGCCCCACCCCCCAAGGCUAUAGCCCACCCGUUUUUGUGGCCUUUUUCCGCUGGACGAACUUGGCAGCCCGGCCUUCGGGUGGUUAUUUUUGGGCACGGCUGUGCUCGCGGCCUAUUUUUGGUACACGGAGGCCGCUCGCAAAGUCUCGCGCCAUUCCGAGUCCGGCGGACGAAGUUGGCCAGCCCCAACCCCCGAGGCUAUAGCCCACCCGUUUUUGUGGCCUUUUUCCACUGGACGAACUUGGCGCCCCGGCCUUCGGGGGGUUAUUUUUGGGUACGGCUGUGCCCGCGGCCUAUUUUUAUCACACAGAGGCCGCUCGCAAAGUCUCGCGCCAUUCCGAGUCCGGCGGACGAAGUUGGCCAACCCCACCCCCCAAGGCUAUAGCCCACCCGUUUUUGUGGCCUUUUUCCGCUGGACGAACAUGGCGCCCCGGCCUUCAGGCGGUUAUUUUUACGCGCGGCUGUUUCCGCGGCCUAUUUUUGGCUAACGGUGGCCGCUCGCAAAGUCUCGCGCCAUUCCGAGUCCGGCGAACGAAGUUGGCCAGCCCCACCCCCCAAGGCUAUAGCCCACCCGUUUUUGUGGCCUUUUUCCGCAGGACGAACUUGGCGCCCCGGCCUUCGGGUGGUUAUUAUUGGGCGCAGCUGUGCCCACGGCCUAUUUUUGGCACACGGAGGCCGCUCGCAAAGUCUCGGGCCAUUCUGAGUCCGGCGGACGAAGUUGGCCAGCCCCAUCCCCCAAGUCUAUAGCCCACCCGUUUUUGUGGCCUUUUUCCACUGGACGAAUUGUCGACCCAGCCUUCAGGCGGUUAUCUUUGAGCGCGGCUGUGCCCUCGUCCUAUUUUUGGCUCACGGAGAUGCCUCGCAAAGUCUCGCACCAUUCCGAGUCCGGCGGACGAAGUGGGCCAGCCCCACCCCCCAAUGCUAUAGCCCACCCGUUUUUGUGGCGUUUUUCCGCUGGACGAACUUGGCAACCCGGCCUUCGGGCGGUUAUUUUUGGGUACGGCUUUGCCUGCGGCCUAUUUUUGGCACACGGAGGCGUCUCGCAAAGUCUCGCGGCAUUCCGAGUCCGGCGGACGAAGUUGGCCAGCCCCACCCCCCAAGGCUAUAGCCCACCCGUUUUUGUGGCCUUUGUCCGCUGGACGAACUUGGCGCCCCGGCCUUCCAGCGGUUAUUUUUGGGCGCGGAUGUGCCCGCAGCCUGUUUUAGGCACACGGAGGCCCCUCGCAAGGUCUCGCCCCAUUCCGAGUCCGGCGGAUGAAGUUGGCGAGCCCCACCCCCCAAGGCCGUAGCCCACCCGUGUUUGUGGCCUUUUUCCGCUGGACGAACUUGGCGCCCCGGCCUUCGGGGUGUUAUUUUUGGGCGCGGCUGUGCCCGCGGCCUAUUUUUGGCACACGGAGGCGCCUCGCAAAGUCCCGCGCCAUUCUGAAUCCGGCGGACGAAGUUGGCCCGCCCCACCCCCCAAGGCUAUAGCCUACCCGUUUUUGUGGCCUUUUUCUGCUGGACGAACUUGGCGCCCCGGCCUUCGGGGUGUUAUUUUUGGGCGCGGCCGCGCCCGCGGCCUAUUUUUGGCACACGGAGGCACCUCGCAAAGUCUCGCACCAUUUCGAGUCCGGCGGACGGUGUUGGCCAGCCCCACCCCCCAAGGCUAUAGCCCACCCGUUUUUGUGGCCUUUUUCCGCUGGACGAACUUGGCGGCCCGUCCUUCGGGCGGUUAUUUUUGGGGGCGGCUGUGACCGCGGCGUAUUUUUGGCACACGGAGGCCCCUCACAAAGUCUCGCGCCAUUCCGAGUCCGGCGGACAAAGUUGGCCAGCCCCAAACCCCAUGGUUAUAGCCCACCCGUUUUUUUGGCCUUUGUCAGCUGGACGUACUUGGCGACCCGGCCUUCGGGCGGUUAUUUUUGGGUGCGGCUUUGGCCGCGGCCUAUAUUUGGCGCACGGAGGCCCCUCGCAAAGUCUCGCGGCAUUCCGAGUCCGGCGGCCGAAGUAGGCCCGCCCCAAACCCCAAGGUUAUAGCCCCACCCAUUUUUGUGGCCUUUUUCCGCUGGACGAACUUGGCGCCCCGGCCUUCGGGAGGUUAUUUUUGGGCGCGGCUUUGCCCACGGCCUAUUUUUGGCACACGGAGGACCCUCGCAAAGUCUCGCGGCAUUCCAAGUCCGGCGGACGAAGUGGGCCAGCCCUACCCCCCAAGGCUAUAGCCCACCCGUUUUUGUGGCCUUUUUCCGCUGCACGAACUUGGCGCCCCGGCCUUCCGGUUGUUAUUUUUGGGUGCGGCUUUGGCCGCGGCCUAUUUUUGGCACGCGGAGGCCUCUCGCAAAGUCUCGCGGCAUUCCGAGUCCGGCGGACGAAGUUGCCCAGCCCCACCCCCGAAGGCUAUAGCCCACCCGUUUUUCUGGCCUUUUUCCGCUGGACGAACUUGGCGCCCCGGCCUUCGGGCGGUUAUUUUGGGGCGCGACUUUGCCCGCGGCCUAUUUUUGGCACACGGAGGCCCCUCGCAAAGUCUCGCGGCAUUCCGAGUCCGGCGGACGAAGUUGGCCAGCCCCCCCCCCCCCCAAGGCUCCCACCCGUUUUUGUGGCCUUUUUCCGCUGGACGAACUUGGCGCCCCGGCCUUCGGGCGGUUAUUUUUGGGCGCGGCUUUGUCCGCGGCCUAUUUUUGGCACAUGGAGGCCCCUCGCAAAGUCUCGCGGCAUGCCGAGUCCGGCGGACGAAGUUGGGCAGCACCACCCCCCAAGGCUCCCACCCGUUUUUGUGGCCUUUUUCCGCUGGACGAACUUUGCGCCCCGGCCUUCGGGAGGUUAUUUUUGGGCGCCGCUUUGCCCGCGGAUUAUUUUUGGCACACGGAGGCCCCUUGCAAAGUCUCGCGGCAUUCCGAGUCCGGCGGACGAAGUUGGCCAGCCCCACCCCCCAAGGCUAUAGCCCACCCGUUUUUGUGGCCUUUUUCCGCUGGACGAACUUGGCGCCCCGGCCUUCGGGUUGUUAUUUUUGGGCGCGGCUUUGCCCGCGGCCUAUUUUUGGCACACGGAGGCCCCUCGCAAAGUCUCGCGGCAUUCCGAGUCCGGCGGACGAAGUUGGCCUUCCCCACCCCCCAAGGCUAUAGCCCACCCGUUUUUGUGGCCUUUUUCCGCUGGACGAACUGGGCGCCCCGGCCUUCGGGCGGUUAUUUUUGGGCGCGGCAUUGCCCGCGGCCUAUUUUUUGCCCACGGAGACCCCUCGCAAAUUCUCACGGCAUUGCGAGUCCGGUGGACGAAGUGGGCCAGCACCACCCCCCAGGGCUAUAGCCCACCCGUUUUUGUGGCCUUUUUCCGCUGGACGAACUUGGCGCCCCGGCCUUCGGGCUGUUAUUUUUGGGCACGGCUUUACCCGCGGCCUAUUUUUGGUACACGGAGGCCCCUCGCAAAGUCUCGCUGCAUUCCGAGUCCGGCGGACGAAGUCGGCCUGCGCCACCCCCCAACGCUAUAGCCCACCCGUUUUUGUGGCCUUUUUCCGCUGGACGAACUGGGCGCCCCGGCCUUCGGGGGGUUAUUUUUGGGUGCGGCUUUUCCCACGGCCUAUUUUUUGGCCACGGAGGCCCCUCGCAAAGUCUCGCGGCAUUCCGAGUCCAGCGGACGAAGUUGGUCUGCCCCACCCCCCACGGCUAUAGCCCACCCGUUUCUGUGGCGUUUUUCCGCUGGACGAACUGGGCGCCCCAGCGUUCGGGCGGUUAUUUUUGGGCGUGGCUUUGCCCGCGGCCUAUUUUUUGUACACGGAGGCCCCUCGCAAAUUCUCGCGGCAUUCCGAGUCCCGCAGACGAAGUUGGCCAGCCCCACCCCCCAAGGCCAUAGUCCACCCGUUUUUGUGGCCUUUUUCCGCAGGACGAACUUGGCGCCCUGGCCUUCGGGCGGUUAUUUUUGGGCGCGGCUUUGCCCACGGCCUAUUUUUGGCACACGGAGGCCCCUCGCAAAGUGUCACGGCAUUCCGAGUCCGGCGGACGAAUUUGGCAUGCCCCACCCCCCAAAGCUAUAGCCCAAUCGAUUUUGUGGCCUUUUUCCGCUGGACGAACCUGGCGCCCCGGCCUUCGGGCGGUUAUUUUUGGUCGCGGCUUUGCCUACGGCCUAUUUUUGGCACACGGAGACCCCUCGUAAAGUCUCUCGGUAUUCCGAGUCCGGCGGACGAAAAUUGGCCAGCCCCAACCCCCAAGGCUAUAGCCCACCAGUUUUUGUGGCCUUUUUCCGCUGGACGAACUUGGCGCCCCGGCCUUCGGGCGGUUAUUUUUGGGCGCGGCUUUGCCCGUGGCCUAUUUUUGGCACACGGAGGCCCCUUGCAAAGUCUCGAGGCAUUCCGAGUCCGGCGGACGAAGUGGGCCAGCCCCACCCCCCAAGACUAUAGCCCACCCGUCUUUGUGGCCUUGUUCCGCUGGACGAACUUGGCGCCCCGGCCUUCGGGCGGUUAUUUUUGGGCGUGGCUUUGGCCGCGGCCUAUUUUUGGCACACGGAGGCCCCUUGCAAAGUCUCGCGGCAUUCCGAGUCCGGCGGACGAAGUGGGCCAGCCCCACCCCCCAAGGCUAUAGCCCACCCGUUUUUGUGGCCUUUUUCCGCUGGACGAACUGGGCGCCCCUGCCUUCGGGAGGUUAUUUUUUGGCGCGGCUUUGCCCGCGGCCUAUUUUUUGCACACGGAGGCCCCUCACAAAUUCUCGCAACAUUACGAGCCCGGCGGACGAAGUUGGCCAGCCCCACCCCCCAAGGCUAUAGCCCACCCGUUUUUGUGGCCUUUUUCCGCUGGACGAACUUGGCGCCCCGGCCUUUGGGCGGUUAUUUUUGGGCGCGGCUUUGCCCGCGGUCUAUUUUUGGCACACGGAGGCCCCUCGCAAAGUCUCGCGGCAUUCCAAGUCCGGCGGAUGAAGUUGGCCAGCCCCACCCCCCAAGGCUAUAGCCCACCCAUUUUUGUGGCCUUUUUCCGCUGGACGAACUUGGCGCCCCGGCCUUCGGGCGGUUAUUUUUGGGCGCGGCUUUGCCCGCGGUCUAUUUUUGGCACACGGAGGCCCCUCGCAAAGUCUCGCGGAAUUCCGAGUCCGGCGGACGAAGUUGGCCAGCCCCACCCCCCAAGGCUAUAGCCCACCCGUUUUUGUGGCCUUUUUCCGCUGGACGAACUAGGCGCCCUGGCCUUCGGGCGGUUAUUUUUGGGCGCGGCUUUGACCGCGGCCUGUUUUUGGCACACGGAGGCCCCUCGCAAAGUCUCGCGGCAUUCCGAGUCCGGCGGACGAAGUUGGCCAGCCCCACCCCCCAAGGCUAUAGCCCGCCCAUUUUUGUGGCCUUUUUCCGCUGGACGAACUUGGCGCCCCGGCCUUCGGGCGGUUAUUUUUGGGCGCGGCUUUGCCCGCGGUCUAUUUUUGGCACACGGAGGCCCCUCGCAAAGUCUCGCGGAAUUCCGAGUCCGGCGGACGAAGUUGGCCAGCCCCACCCCCCAAGGCUGUAACCCACCCGUUUUUGUGGCCUUUUUCCGCUGGACGAACUAGGCGCCCUGGCCUUCGGGCGGUUAUUUUUGGGCGCGGCUUUGACCGCGGCCUGUUUUUGGCACACGGAGGCCCCUCGCAAAGUCUCGCGGCAUUCCGAGUCCGGCGGACGAAGUUGGGCCGCCCCACCCCCAAGGUUAUAGCCCACCCGUUUUUGUGGCCUUUUUCCGCUGGACGAACUGGGCGCCCCUGCCUUCGGGAGGUUAUUUUUUGGCGCGGCUUUGCCCGAGGCCUAUUUUUUUGCACACGGAGGCCCCUCACAAAUUCUCGCAACAUUACGAGCCCGGCGAACGAAGUUGGCCAGCCCCACCCCCCAAGGCUAUAGCCCACCCGUUUUUGUGGCCUUUUUCCGCUGGACGAACUUGGCGCCCCGGCCUUUGGGGGGUUAUUUUUGGGCGCGGCUUUGUCCGCGGUCUAUUUUUGGCACACGGAGGCCCCUCGCAAAGUCUCGCGGCAUUCCAAGUCCGGCGGACAAAGUUGGCAGCCCCACCCCCCAAGGCUAUAGCCCACCCAUUUUUGUGGCCUUUUUCCGCUGGACGAACUUGGCGCCCCGGCCUUCGGGCGGUCAUUUUUGGGCGCGGCUUUGCCCGCGGUCUAUUUUUGGCACACAGAGGCCCCUCGCAAAGUCUCGCGGAAUUCCGAGUCCGGCGGACGAAGUUGGCCAGCCCCACCCCCCAAGGCUAUAGCCCACCCGUUUUUGUGGCCUUUUUCCGCUGGACGAACUAGGCGCCCUGGCCUUCGGGCGGUUAUUUUUGGGCGCGGCUUUGACCACGGCCUGUUUUUGGCACACGGAGGCCCCUCGCAAACUCUCGCGGCAUUCCGAGUCCGGCGGACGAAGUGGGCCAGCCCCACCCCCCAAGGCUAUAGCCCACCUGUUUUUGUGGCGUUUUUCGAUUGGACGAACUGGGCGCCCCGGCCUUCGGGAGGUUAUUUUUGGGCGUGGCUUUGCCCGCGGCCUAUUUUUUGCACACGGAGGCCCGUCACAAAUUCUCGCGGCAUUGCGAGUCCGGCGGACGAAGUUGGCCAGCCCCACCCCCCAAGGCUAUAGCCCACCCGUUUUUGUGGCCUUUUUCAGCUGGACGAACUUGGCGCCCCGGCCUUGGGGCGGUUAUUUUUGGGCGCGGCUUUACUCACGGCAUAUUUUUGGCACACGGAGGCCCCUCGCAAAGUCUCGCGGCAUUCCGAGUCCGACGGACGAAGUGGGCCAGCCCCACCCCCCAAGGCUAUAGCCCACCCGUUUUUGUGGCCUUUUUCCGCUGGACGAACUUGGCACCCCCGCCUUCAGGCAGUUAUUUUUGGGUGCGGCUUAGCCCGCUGCCUAUUUUUGGCACACGGAGGCCCCUCGCAAAGUCUCGCGGCAUUCCGAGUCCGGCGGACGAAGUGGGCCAACCCCACCCCCCAAGGCUAUAGCCCACCUGUUUUUGUGGCCUUUUUCAGCAGGACGAACUUGGCGCCCCGGCCUUCGGGCGGUUAUUUUUGGGCGCGGCUUUACCCGCGGCCAAUUUUUGGCACAUGGAGGCCCCUCUGAAUGUCUCGCGGCAUUCCGAGUCCGGCGGACGAAGUUGGCCAGCCCCACUCCCCAAGGCUAUAGCCCACCCGUUUUUGUGGCCUUUUUCCGCUGGACGAACUUGGCGCCCCGGCCUUCGGGCGGUUAUUUUCGGGCGUGGCUUUGCCCUCGGCCUAUUUUUGGCACACGGAGGCCCCUCGCAAAGUCUCGCGGCAUUCCGAGUCCGGCGGACGAAGUUGGCCAGCCCCACCCCCCAAGGCUAUAGCCCACCCGUUUUUGUGGCCUUUUUCCGCUUGACGAACUUGGCGCCCCGGCCUUCGGGCGGUUAUUUUUGGGCGCGGCUCUGUCCGCGGCCUAUUUUUGGCACACGGAGGUGCCUCGGAAAGUGUCGCGCCAUUCCGAGUCCGGCGGACGACGUUGGCCGGCCCCACCCCCCAAGGCAAUAGCCCACCCUUUUUUGUGGCCUUUUUCCGCUGGUCGAACUUGGCGCCCCGGCCUUCGGGCGGUUAUUUUUGGGCGCGGCUUUGCCCGCGGCCUAUUUUUCAGACACGGAGGCCCCUCGCAAGGUCUCGCGGCAUUCCCAGUCCGGCGGACGAAGUGGGCCAGCCCCACCCCCCAAGGUAUAGCCCACCCGUUUUUGUGGCCUUUUUCCGCUUGACGAACUUGGCGCCCCGGCAUUCGGGUGGUUAUUUUUGGGCGCGGCUUUACCCGCGGCCUAUUCUUGGCACACGGAGGCCGCUCGCAAAGUCUCGCGGAAUUCCGAGUCCGGCGGACGAAGUUGGCCAGCCCCACCCCCCAAGGCUAUAGCCCACCCGUUUUUGUGGCCUUUUUCCGCUCGACGAACUUGGCGCCCCGGCCUUCGGUCGGUUAUUUUUGGGCACGGCUUUGCCCGCGUCCUAUUUUUGGCACACGGAGGCCCCUCGGAAUGUCUCACGCCAUUCCGAGUCCGGCGGACGAAGUUGGCCAGCCCCACCCCCCAAGGGUAUAGCCCACCCGUUUUUGUGGCCAUUUUCCGCUGGACGAACUUGAUGCCCCGGCCUUCGGGUGGUUAUUUUUCGGUGCGGCUUUACCCGCGGCCUAUUUUUGGCACACGGAGGCCCCUCGCAGAGUCUCGCGGCAUUCCGAGUCCGGUGGACGAAGUUGGCCAGCCCCACCCCCCAAGGCUAUAGCCCACCCGUUUUUGUGGCCUUUUUCCGCUGGACGAACUUGGCGCCCCGGCCUUCGGGUGGUUAUUUUUCAGCGCGGCUUUGCCCGCGGCAUAUUUUUCGCACACGGAGGCCCCUCGCAAAAUCUCGCGGCAUUCCGAGUCUGGCGGACGAUUGGGCCAUCCCCACCCCCCAAGGCUAUAUCCCACCCGUUUUUGUGGCCUUUUUCCGCUUGACGAACUUGGCCACCCGGCCUUCGGGCGGUUAUUUUUGGGCGUGGCUUUACCCGCGGCUUAUUUUUGGCACACGGAGGCCCCUCGCAAAGUCUCGCGGCAUUCCGAGUCCGGCGGACGAAGUUGGCCAGCCCCACCCCCCAAGGCUAUAGCCCACCCGUUUUUGUGGCCAUUUUCCGCUGGACGAACUUGGCGCCCCGGCCUUCGGGUGGUUAUUUUUGGGCGUGGCUGUGCCCGCGGCCUAUUCUUGGCACACGGAGGCCGCUCGCAAAGUCUCGCGGCAUUCCGAGUCCGGCGGACGAAGUUGGCCAGCCCCACCCCCCAUGGCUAUAGCCCACCCGUUUUUGUGGCCUUUUUCCUCUGGACGAACUUGGCGCCCCGGCCUUCGGGCGGUUAUUUUUGGGCGCGUCUGUGCCCGCUGCCUAUUCUUGGCGCACGGAGGCCGCUCGCAAUGUCUCGCGCUAUUCCGAGUCCGGUUGACGAAGUUGGCCAGCCCCACCCCCCAAGGCUAUAGCCCACCUGUUUUCGUGGCCUUUUUCAGCUGGAUGAACUUGGCGCCCCGGCCUUCGGGCGGUUAUUUUUGGGCGCGGCUUUACCCGCGGCCUAUUUUUGGCACACGGAGGCCCCUCGCAAUGUCUCGCGGCAUUCCGAGUCCGGCGGACAAAGUGGGCCAGCCCCACCCCCCAAGGCUAUAGCCCACCUGUUUUCGUGGCCUUUUUCAGCUGGACGAACUUGGCGCCCCGGCCUUCGGGCGGUUAUUUUUGGGCGCGGCUUUACCCGCAGCCUAUUUUUGGCACACGGAGGCCCCUCGCAAUGUCUAGCGGCAUUCCGAGUCCGGCGGACGACGUGGGCCGGCCCCACCCCCCAAGGCAAUAGCCCACCCGUUUUUGUGGUCUUUUUCUGCUGGACGAACUUGGCGCCCCAUCCUUCGGGUGGUUAUUUUUGGGCGUGGCUGUGCCCGCGGCCUAUUCUUGGCACACGGAGGUCGCUCGCAAAGUCUCGCGGCAUUCCGAGUCCGGCGGACGAAGUUGGCCAGCCCCACCCCCCAAGGCUAUAGCCCACCCGUUUUUGUGGCAUUUUUCCGCUGGACGAACAUGGCGCCCCGGCCUUCGGGCGGUUAUUUUUGGGCGCGUCUGUGCCCGCUGCGUAUUCUUGGUGCGCGGAGGCCGCUCGCAAUGUCUCGCGCCAUUCCGAGUCCGGCGGACGAAGUUGGCCAGCCCCACCCCCCAAGGCUAUAGCCCACCUGUUUUUGUGGCCUUUUUCAGCUGGACGAACUUGGCGCCCCGGGCUUCGGGCGGUUAUUUUCGGGCGCGGCUUUACCCGCAGCCUAUUUUUGGCACACGGAGGCCCCUCGCAAAUUCUCGCGGCAUUCCGAGUCCGGCGGACGAAGUUGGCCAGCCCCACCCCCCAAGGGUAUAGCCCACCCGUUUUUGUGGCCUUUUUCCGCUGGACGAACUUGGCAUCCCAGCCUUCGAGCAGUUAUUUUUUGGCACGGCUAUGCCCGUGGCCUAUUUUUCGCACACGGAGGCCCCUCGCAUAGUCUCGCGGCAUUCCAAGUCCGGCGGACGAAGUUGGCCAGCCCCACCCCCCAAGGCUGUAGCCCACCCGUUUUUGUGGUCUUUUUCCGCUAGACGAACUUGGCGCCCCGGCCUUCGGGCGGUUAUUUUUGGGGGCGGCUUUGCCCGCGGGCUAUUUUUGGCACACGGAGGCCCCUCGCAAGUCUCGCGGCGUUUCCGAGUCCGGCGGACGAAGUUGGCCAACCCCACCCCCCAAGGCUAUAGCCCACCCGUUUUUGUGGCCUUUUUCUGCUGGACGAACUUGGCGAACCCGGCCUUCGGGCGGUUAUUUUUGGAUGCGGCUAUGCCCGCGGCCUAUUUUUGGCACACGGAGGCCCCUCGAAAAUUCUAGCGGCAUUCUGAGUCCGGCGGACGAAGGUGGCCAGCCCAAGCCCCCAAGGCUAUAGCCCACCCGUUUUUGUGGCCUUUUUCCGCUGGACGAACAUGGCGCCCCGGCCUUCGGUGCGGUUAUUUUUGGGCGCGUCUGUGCCCGCUGCCUAUUCUUGGUGCACGGAGGCCGCUCGCAAAGUCUCGCGCCAUUCCGAGUCCGGCGGACGAAGUUGGCCAGCCCCACCCCCCAAGGGUAUAGCCCACCCGUUUUUGUGGCCUUUUUCCGCUGGACGAACUUGGCGCCCCCGCAUUCGGGCGGUUCUUUUUGGGCGCGGCUUAGCCCGCUGCCUAUUUUUGGCACACGGAGGCCCCUCGCAAAUUCUCGCGCCAUUCCGAGUCCGGAGGACGAAGUUGGCCAGCCCCACCCCCCAAGGCUAUAGCCCACCCGUUUUUGUGGCCUUUUUCUGCUGGACGAACUUGGCGCCCCGGCCUUCGGGCGGUUAUUUUUUGGAUGCGGCUAUGCCUGCGGCCUACUUUAUGGCAAACGUAUGCCCCUCGCAAAGUCUCGCGGCAUUCCGAGUCCGGCGGACGAAGUCGGCCAGCCCCACCCCCCAAGGCUAUAGCCCACCCGUUUUUGUGGCCUUUUUGCGCUGGACGAACUUGGCGCCCCGGCCUUCGGGCGGUUAUUUUUUGGCGCGGCUUUGACCGUGGCCUAUUUUUGGCACACGGAGGCCCCUCGCAAAGUAUCGCGACAUUCCGAGUCCGGCGGACGAAGUUGGCCAGCCCCACCCCCCAACGCUAUAGCCCACCCGUUUUUGUGGCCUUUUUACGCUGGACGAACUUGGCGCCCCGGCCUUCGGGCAGUUAUUUUUGGGCGCGGCUCUGCCCGCGGCCUACCUUUGGCACACGGAGGCCCCUCGCAAAGGCUCACGGCAUUCCGAGUCCGGCAGACGAAGUCGACCAGCCCCACCCCCCAAGGCUAUAUCCCACCCGUUUUUGUGGCCUUUUUCCGCUGGACGAACUUGGCGCCCCAGCCUUCGGGCGGUUAUUUUUGGGCGCGGCUUUGCCCGCGGCCUAUUUUUGGCACAAGUAGGCCCCUCGCAAAUUCUCGCGGCAUUCCGAGUCCGGCGGACGAAGUAGGCCAGCCCCACCCGUUUUUGUGGCAUUUUUGCGCUGGACGAACUUGGCGCCCCGGCCUUCGGGCAGUUAUUUUUGGGCGCGGCUUUGACCGUGGCCUAUUUUUGGCACACGGAGGCCCCUCGCAAAGUAUCGCGGCAUUCCGAGUCCGGCGGACGAAGUUGGCCAGCCCCACCCCCCAAGGAUAUAGCCCACCCGUUUUUGUGGCCUUUUUCCGCUGGACGAACUUGGCGCCCCGGCCUUCGGGCGGUUAUUUUUGGGCGUGGCUGUGCCCGUGGCCUAUUAUUCGCACACGGAGCCGCCUCGCAAAGUCUCGCGCCAUUCCGAGUCCGGCGGACGAAGUUGGCCAGCCCCACCCCCCAAGGCUAUAGCCCACCCGUUUUUGUAGCCUUUUUCCGCUAGACGAACUUGGCGCCCCGGCCUUCGGGCGGUUAUUUUUGGGUGCGGCUUUGUCCGCGGCCAAUUUUUGGCACACGGAGGCCCCUCGCAAAGUUUCGCGGCAUUCCGAGUCCGGCGGACGAAGUUGGCCAGCCCCACCCCCCAAGGCUAUAGCCCACCCGUUUUUGUGGGCUUUUUCCGCUGGACGAACUUGGCGCCCCGGCCUUCGGGCGGUUAUUUUGGGGUGCGGCUUUGUCCGCGGCCGAUUUUUUGCACACGGAUGCCCCUCGCAAAGUCUCGCGGCAUUCCGAGUCCGGCGGACGAAGUUGGCCAGCCCCACCCCCCAAGGCUAUAGCCCACCCGUUUUUGUGGGCUUUUUCCGCUGGACGAAAUUGGCGCCCCGGCCUUCGGGCGGUUAUUUUUGGGCGCGGCUUUGCCCGCGGCCUAUUUUUGGCACACGGAGGCGCCUCGCAAAGUCUCGCGCCAUUCAUAGUCCGGCGGACGAAGUGGGCCCGCCCCACCCCCCAAGGCUAUAGCCCACCCGUUUUUGUGGGCUUUUUCCACUGGACGAACUUGGCGCGCCGGCCUUCGGGCGGUUAUUUUUAGGCGCGGCUGUGCCCGCGGCCUAUUUUUGGCACACGAAGGCGCCUCGCAAAGUCUCGCGGCAUUCCGAGUCCGGCGGACGAAGUGGGCCCGCCCCACCCCCCAAGGCUAUAGCCCACCCGUUUUUGUGGGCUUUUUCCGCUGGACGAACUUGGCGCCCCGGCCUUCGGGCGGUUAUUUUUGGGCGCGGCUGUGCCCGCGGCCUAUUUUUGGCACACAGAGGCGCCUCGCAAAGUCUCGCGCCAUUCCGAGUCCGGCGGACGAAGUGGGCCAGCCCCACCCCCCAAGGCUAUAGCCCACCCGUUUUUGUGGCCUUUUUCCGCUGGACGAACUUGGCGCCCCGGCCUUCGGGCAGUUAUUUUUGGGCGCGGCUGUGCCUGCGGCCUAUUUUUUGCACACGAAGGCGCCUCGUAAAGUCUCGCGCGAUUCCGAGUCCGGCGGACGAAGUUGGCCAGCCCCACCCCCCAAGGCUAUAGCCGACCCGUUUUUGUGGCCUUUUUCCGCUGGACGAACUUGGCGCCCCGGCCUUCGGGCAGUUAUUUUUGGGCGCGGCUGUGCCCGCGGCCUAUUUUUUGCACACAAAGGCGCCUCGCAAUGUCUCGCACAAUUCCGAGUCCGGCGGACGAAGUUGGCCAGCCCCACCCCCCAAGGCUAUAGCCGACCCGUUUUUGUGACCAUUUUCCGUUGGACGAACUUGGCGCCCCUGCCUUCGGGUGGUUAUUUUUGGGUACGGCUGUGCCCGCGGCCUAUUUUUGGCACAUGGAGGCACCUUGCAAAUUCUCGCGCCAUUCCGAGUGCGGCGGACGAAGUUGGCCAGCCGCACCCCCCAAGGCAAUAACCCACCCGUUUGAGUGGCCUUUUUCCGCUGGACGAACUUGUCUCCCCGGCCUUCGGGCAGUUACUUUUGGGCUCGGCUGUGCCCGUGGCCUAUUUUUAGCACACGCAGGUGCCUCGCAAAGUCUGGCGCCAUUCCGAGUCCGGCGGACGAAGUUGGCCAGCUCCACCGCCGAAGGAUAUAGCCCACACAUUUUUGUGGUCUUUUUCCGCUGGACGAACUUGGCGCCCCGGGCUUCGGGUGGUUAUUUUUGGGUGCGGCUGUGCCUGCGGCCUAUUUUCGGGACACGGUGGCGCCUCGCAAAGUCUCGCGCCAUUCCGAGUCCGGCGGACGAAGUUGGCCAGCCCCACCCCCCAAGGCUAUAGCCCACCCGUUUUUUGGGCCUUUUUCCGCGGGAUGAACUUGGCGCCCCGGCCUUCGGCCAGUUAUUUUUGGGCGUGGCUGUGCCCGCAGCCUAUUUUUUGCACACGGAGGCGUCNNNNNNNNNNNNNNNNNNNNNNNNNNNNNNNNNNNNNNNNNNNNNNNNNNNNNNNNNNNNNNNNNNNNNNNNNNNNNNNNNNNNNNNNNNNNNNNNNNNNCCACCAGUUUUUGUGGCCUUUUUCCGCUGGACGAACUUGGCGGCCCGGCCUUCGGGCGGUUAUUUUUGUGCGCGGCUGUGCCCGCGGCCUAUUUUUGGCACACGGAGGCGCCUAACAAAGUCUGGAGCCAUUCCGAGUCCGGCAGAGGAAGUGGGCCAGCCCCACCCCCCAAGGCUAUAACCCACCCGUUUUUGUGGCCUUUUUCCGCUGGACGAACUUGGCGCCCCGGCCUUCGGGCGGUUAUUUUUGGGCGCAGCUGUGCCCGCGGCCUAUUUUUGGCACACGGAGGGGCCUCGGAAAGUCUCGCGCCAUUCCGAGUCAGGCGGACGAAGUUGGUCAGCCCCACCCCCGAAGGCUAUAGCCCACCCGUUUUUGUGGCCUUUUUCCGCUGGACGAACUUGCCGCCCCAGCCUUCGGGUGGUUAUUUUUGGGCGCAGCUGUGCCCGCGGCCUAUUUUUGGCACACGGAGGGGCCUCGGAAAGUCUCGCGCCAUUCCGAGUCCGGCGGACGAAGUU
rnacentral:lncRNA from 1 species